rnacentral:rRNA from 1 species
GAUGAACGCUGGCGGCGUGCCUAAUACAUGCAAGUCGAGCGAACAGAUAAGGAGCUUGCUCCUUUGACGUUAGCGGCGGACGGGUGAGUAACACGUGGGUAACCUACCUAUAAGACUGGGAUAACUUCGGGAAACCGGAGCUAAUACCGGAUAAUAUUUCGAACCGCAUGGUUCGAUAGUGAAAGAUGGUUUUGCUAUCACUUAUAGAUGGACCCGCGCCGUAUUAGCUAGUUGGUAAGGUAACGGCUUACCAAGGCGACGAUACGUAGCCGACCUGAGAGGGUAAUCGGCCACACUGGAACUGAGACACGGUCCAGACUCCUACGGGAGGCAGCAGUAGGGAAUCUGCCGCAAGGGGCGAAAGCCUGACGGAGCAACGCCGCGUGAGUGAUGAAGGGCUUCGGAUCGUAAAACUCUGUUAUUAGGGAAGAACAAACGUGUAAGUAACUGUGCACGUCUUGACGGUACCGAAUCAGAAAGCAACGGCUAACUACGUG